UGGGCCCUAGCAGAAUACAAAACGAGCACAUAUCCAAGUGUAUCCUCAAUUCUAGAUUCCUACAAGCACUCUAUUGUCCAACCACUCCGCUUCAUAAUUGACAUUCCCAGUAACAGACCUCACCUCCUACCAGAUCCCCAGCCUUCGGAAUGCUAAAGCUGGUUGAUUAGUGUCUGCAAAACUACCGAUUCUGGGGACAGCCCCUUCUCCUGCUCUUGCAGCUCUGAGCAUAUCCCUUCUGCUGACUCUCCCCAGGGACCUGACUGUCCCUUGCAGAUGGUCACCACCCUCUAGGUAGUACAACUUCCCGGGACACCCCAAUGUCUGCUCUCGCCCCCGUCCGGUUGCUUGGAAAUGUGCAGCGGGCAGCGACGUCACACAGAGAGGUGGGUGCCCUCUGCCCGGCGCACCAAUAGCGCGGCCACGGCCGGCCUCUUCUUCUCCAGCUAUUGGUGCUUCUGGCCGCUCGGCUCCACCCCAGCCCGCCAUGGCGUCAGCCGCCGCAACCCGGGGGAGGAGGUUCCCACUUUAAGAAGUGAAGUUUUCCUCCCCCUCCCCCUCCUGCCCACCUCCUGCCGCCUCCCGCGCCCCGCGGGGCCGCGGAUGGAGCUCCGCCGUGGCGGCGUGGGGAACCAGGCUGCGGGCCGGAGGAUGGAUGGGGACUGCCGCGAUGGCGGCUGCGGCAGCAAGGACGCCGGGUCGGAGGACUACGAGAACCUACCGACCAGCGCCUCGGUGUCCACCCACAUGACAGCGGGAGCGAUGGCCGGGAUUCUGGAGCACUCCAUCAUGUACCCGGUGGACUCCGUGAAGGGUCACUGUUCAGCUUCCCUGAACCUGAAGUUCAUCAAUUCAGCCAGGAUGGUUGGUCCAACAGCUUCAUGGAUGGGGCUGUCUUCUCUCCCCAACGCACAGCCCUACAGAAGAGCAGACCUACAAACCUAUACUUGAGUUCUAUCUGCCACAGGCUUGGGUGAUCUGUAACUCAGUCAACUACUGACACAAACCUCGUCCUCAUUUCCAAAGUCAAAGCGAUGUCCAAGCAGACAGACUGCCACAAAGACUCAACAAGUUGGUGGUUGGAACUGAAGUUCUCUGAAGAAGCCACAUGUGCCGUGAAGAUCCGCAAGACAGACUAUGGCUUUCUGUUUAUGAAUAGGUGGGAUGUUGUAAAUUAAAAGGUAAGAUUACCUUGUGCUCUUUAGUCUUCUCACUAGUCGCUUACUACCACCUUCCACAUCUUUUUUUUGUGACUAUUGGGUACAACUUUGGGAAUGCACUGUUAACCUUAGCACACUGCUAGCCUCCAACUCUACAGCUAAGAAUGUUAUAAAUCAAAGAGCCAAGUUAAGCUCGGAGCCCCAGAUGCCCUGCCUAAGGACAAGGUAACUUCCUGGAACGCUGGGGGCUUUCGUUCUUGGGAGAUAACAAGUCACAUGUUUUCACUCCGCUAAACUGUUUGACCCAUCUACACUGAAUGUGCCUGAUCACAUGUGGGGAGAGGUAUGUAGGUAGGAAAUGUCAGGAUGUAUGCUUGCCCCUGAUUAUUGAGCAUGGUGGGAAAAGCAAUCAGUUGCGGGUUUUUUUUUUUUUUUUUUUUUUUUUUUUUUUUUGGUUUUUCGAGACAGGGUUUCUCUGUAUAGCCCCUGCUGUCCUGGAACUCUGUAGACCAGGCUGGCUUUGAACUCAGAAAUCUGCCUGCCUCUGCCUCCCGAGUGCUGGGACUAAAGGCGUGUGCCACCACGCCCAGCCUUUGCCUUUUUAAGCUCCUGCAAAUGUGACCUGUGGCUAUUCCCUGAGAACCCAGUGGUGGCCUUGGCUAGUGUUUAAUUAAAGCCUGCUUCAAAUUUGGCUCAAAAUUGUGGAACUGAUUUUUCCUCUCUCUUGAAUCUCUGGAUUAACAAUAACAGGCAGAUUAUAGCAGAAUAGGAAAACCUCCCCUGAAAGAUUCAACUGUUACUGUUACCACCAACAGUUCAUAUGGGGCAAAUGAAUUGACUUAUAAUUUUUGUGCUCUGAUUAUAAAAGGUCAUAUGAUCACCUCCUCAAUGAAAUACAUUAUCCAGAGUAACACAGACCCAUGCUCGUAGGCCAUAGCUAUUCAUACUUAGUUCACAAUGAACUCAAGGCAAAAGUGAUUGUUCUAGUGUCAGUUCUGUUGUGAUAACCUACAAAAAGCACCUUUGGGGAAGGUAAGAGUUGAUUUGGCUUGCAGUUCUAGGUUACAAGUUCACCAUUGAGAGCAAACAAGGAAAGCACUUAAACAGAUAGUCAUAUCACACUGACAGCCCAGAGCAGAGAGGAUGAUGCACCCUAUUCCUCCUGCUUGCUCUUGUUCUCAGCUAGUUUUCUCUUCUUUUAUACUGCAUUAGAGCCAAACCUAGGGAAUGGUGCUACUCAUAGUGGGCUGGAUGUCACUACAUCAACUAACAGUCAAGAUAAACUCCCAUAGACAUGCCAGCCUGAUCUAGGCAAUUCCACAGCUGAUACUCUCUCUUGGUGAUUCUCAGUUGUGGCAAGUUGAGAUUUGAAAUCAAGCAGUGGGCUGGAGAGAUGGCUCCACUGUUAAAGGCUGGGCUCACAAUCCAAACCAACCAGCACAGUGGUAUUUUACAUCCAUGUUAGUAAUAGUAAUGAGAUUAGAAAUUUUCUAAAAGUAAAGCCUUUAAGCUUAGUGCCCUGUUAAGCUUUUCUUGUCACUUGGGAUGAGAGAAUUGCUAUGAAAGAAUCAUCUUGAUUAGAUUGCCCUGUGGCCCUGUCUUUGAAAGAGCGAUUGUCUUACUGUGGAAGGCGAGUCGCACCAUCUCUGGGCAGGUGGUUCUGGGCUGCAUGCAAAAGCCAGCCGAGCGUGAGCCAGGGAGCAAGUCAGUCAGUAAGCAGCAUUUCCCCAACGGUUCUGCUUCAGUUCUUGCCCUGACUUCCCGCAGAGGUGGACUGUGACCUGGAGGUGUACGCUAAAAUAAAUUCUUUAAUCUCCAAAGUUGCUUUUGGUCAUCGUGUCUUUCACAGCAACAGAAAACACACCAGAACACUUAGAACUUCAGACUGGAUUAAGGUGGAAUUCAUAUUGCCACUGGAAAACCCAAGGGAACAGCAAGAGCCCACUGGGAAUUUCUUAGAAAGAAUAUGGUGAAAGUUGGCUCCAAACAAGGAGCCAGAAAGGUAUUUACUGUUACUAUCUAUGGAGAGUGACCGAGAACAAAAUCAACCCAGUCAAGAACAAAUUAAAAAAUUAAUUUGAGGCUAGUCAGGCUUGCAACCUGAAAGACAGUCUUGAAAACUGGAUCUGAGACUUUCCAAAAUGGUGGCUGUAUGGAUAGCUUUGCUGACAGGAAAACUGGAAACCACACUACUUGUUAAAAAUUAUGAUUGAUUCUGGAAAAAGCCAAGCUGUCUUGCAGAAAAGGUUUUGGGGGCUAACUUGGUGUCCAUGCAGUUUGGUGGAAGAAGUCUGUUGUAUUGGCCAGCCCAAGUUAACCAUGUUUCAGAUAACUGUUGCUCAGUUCAAAGGUUCACUCUCAAGUGGCUAAGAUCUGGUGAACCAUGGCCUCCCAAUGCCAUGUUAAGUGCUCAAACCAAUGCUAUUUCAUUUUGAUUUUCAUUGACAAUACAAUUAUUAAAAAAAAACAAAAACCUAUGGAGGCUGGAAAGAUGGCUCAGCAGUUAAGAGCACUGACUGCUCUUCCAGAGAUCCUGAGUUCAAUUCCCAGCAACCACAUGUUAGUUCAAAACUAUCUGUAAUGGGAUUUGAUGUGUCUUCUGGUGUGUUUGAAGACAGUGACUGUAUACUCACAUAUAUAAAAUAAAUCUUUUUAAAAUUAAGAACUUUUUGUCUACGUGUGUGUGUGCGUGCCACAUUGUCACACAUGUGCAGUGCCCAUGAAGGUCAUAGGAGGGCAUGAGAUUGCCUGGAGUUAUAGACAAUUGUGGGUGCUGGGAAGUGAACUCAAAAUGCUUUGCAAAAGCAGCUAACACUCUUAACUACUGAGUCAUCUCUCAAGCCCCCAGUCAUUUCUUUAUCUAUAUGUAAAUAGGUACUUCAAAAUGAAAACCUUACUUUUGUGUGUGAAUGCACACAUGUGGCCAUGUGUGGGAAGGGCAGGGAUCAACUCCCAUGUAGUUCCUCAGAUGCUGUCUAGCUUGGUUUUUGAGGUGGAAUCUCGGCUGGCUGGCCCAGGGAUCCCCCUGUCUCUGCAGGCUGUGCUAGGAGUACAAGCAUGUGCCACAGCGGGUGGCUUUUCACAUGGGUUCUGGGUUUCAAACUCAGCUCCUCGCGCCUGCACGGCAAGAGCUUCACCCCUUGAGCCCCCUCCAGACCACAGUGACCUUAUAAGCAGCUGCCUCGGUUAGGCCCCUAGAGGCCUAACAGUGCGAGCUGGUUAAGUCCUGUUCCCAGGGAAGCUCCUGGUUUCUGUGCUAUCGGUCGGACUUGGUGCCCACAGCCCUCAGUCUUUUCUUGCUGCAAGCUCAACAUAACAAAACCAAAGCGUGUAGACGCAGCUUAGUUUGCUGAAUUUAGACUCGAAUUCAGCCAGUCAUUCUAACAAGAUUCAGAAUUCGCAGCGGAGUCUAUUUAAAUCGCAAGGAGAAAAGCACACAGGGGCUCUGGUUCCCUGGAUGACAGUUAUUUUCAGCAUCCAUCCAUGCCUAAAUGUGUGACAGCAGCCUGCCUAACCUGGAAAGUAGACACACGGGUGCUUCCCAAAACAUUACUUAGUUUAAAAGACAUCUAUCACUUAAAAACAAACAAACAAACAAACAAAAUUUAAAGGUACUCCCUUAGAUUUGUAAUCCCUAACUGUAAAACAUCUCAGGCACACAGCAUUCUCCCAGGCUGUUCACACUGCGUAUCACGCAGAGCUGUGUUUCUCAACCUGUGGUCCCGACCCCCUUGGAGGGGUGAAUGACCUUUCCAUAGGGGUCGCCUAAGACUAUAUCCAUAUCAGAUAUUUACAUUAUGGCACAUAACAGUAGCAAAAUUACAGUUAUGAAACCAUAACAAAAAUGACUUUUCUGGUUGGGGGUGGGGUUCACCACAUGAGGAACUGUAUCAAGGGUCGCAGCAUCAGGAAGGUUGAGAACCACCGACCUAGAGGGAAACUCAACACUGGAGAAAAACGGAGCACUGAAGUAUGUGAAAUGCUUUAAGUAGAGGCAGUUUUGCUGCAUUGCACGUUAUCUAUCACACACGACUCCCGAGUGGAGAUGGUGUGCUUUUUAAAGCUCAGAAAACACAUUUGCCUUUUUAGUGUCUUACUGACACGUGCUUCUCAUAAGGAACACUAUUCCAUGUAGACCUGAGUUAAAAUGAGUGUCUGCUUAAGGCUGGUUACACUGCAGUGCGUGGGGUCGGUAACAAUGGACAGUGACCUACCUUAAGGUGGUCAAGCGGAGACCAAUGACACUGGCCUUAAGCUGCCAGCUUCUCCAUCACCUAUGCCUGAGGUGGGAGCUCAGCUAAAGCCAGAGGUUUAGGUAUGAAAUGUGCACAGCCCGAAGGGUGUGGCUCUAGGUUUUCCUUUUUCUAUCAAGAUGUUUCAAGACUGAUGUGUGGUUACUUCCCAUCUGGGUACUGAACAGCAGCUCGGGACAGCAGCUUGUUUCCCUUGUAGCAGCAGCUCGUUCUCACAGGCAGAGUUUGAACCGGCAAUGUCCCCGUGGGCUUCUGUGUUAGAGACGAGGCCCCUGACUCUGUGUUAGGGGAGGCAGAGGAACUGUGAGAUGGGGCUUAAGCAGGAUGUUCUCAGGUCACUAGGGUGUGCCCUUGAAGGGGAGUGUGCCCCCACCCCUUGCUCUUGGCUGAGAAGCAGUGGUUCUGUGCUCGCCCUGGUUCUUGCCAUACUGUGCUGUCUCAGCACUGGACCUAAACAGGGCCCAAAAACACCUCUGAAGGACACCUCUGAAACCGUGAUAAAGGUAACCUUUUCUCUUUGUAAGCUGAUUAUCUCAGAAUUUGUUGUAGUAACAGGAAGCCAAUACAACAACAGCCAGCAAAUUUUUCUAUAAAGGGACAUUUGUAAAUAUUUCAGAUCUUAUAAGGCCAGGAAGUCUCUGUUUUUUGUUUUUCUUGGUAGGAAUUAGAUUGCAACCUGCCUUGAAAUCUUUAUGCUUUUGCCUCAGCCUCCCCAUGCUGGGAUUACUUUUUUUUUUUUUUUUCUUGAGAUGGUAGUAGCUGGAAAUUUCCUAUGUAGAUCAGGCUGGCCUUUAAACUCACAGAGGUCUAUCUGCCUGUCCCUGCCUCACAAGGGAUUAACAGUGUGCAUGCCAAGUCCUGCUAAAGCAAUCCUUUCAGAAGUUGAAAAUAAUGUUCUUAGCUCAAAGGCUAAGAUCUGCAGUGGUUAUUAGGUCUUGCUCCAGGAGCUAUCGGAUAAUCGCCGGCGGUGUGGCCCUGGGAACCCUAGCCAGGGGACUGCUUUGAAGAUUAAGGCUGGUCCUUGCAGCAGGGACCGGUUACAGGCUGAGAGCUGAGUGCCUGCUUGUUCCCAUUCUGGCCCCACACUGCAAGCGCAGGACGAGAUAAGCAUCUUCUCUACCUAAAGCAGAGGAAGGACAUCUUAAAGAAGGUAGGCAGAUUUCAGCAGGUUCUUAUACUGGCUUUCGCUUGCCUUGGCUGUAAAGGCAGAUGCCCCAAACUCCAGGUGGUGUUUACACAUUUUCAGAUGAUGGGGCCUUGCCAUUCCUUCUGCCUGGCAUUGGGAGAGAGGUUCAAAUAAAGUCUAACACCACCUUUCCUCUUCAUCAGACAGUUCACAGGUCUCUCUCUCUCUCUCUCUCUCUCUCUCUCUCUCUCACACACACACACACACACACACACACACACACACACAGAGAGACAGAGACAAAGAGAGAGAGACAGACAGACACAGGCACAGAGAGAUGCACACACACGCCGGCUCAGAAAUUCAAGGGAAAGACGUCAGCAUGGUGACAGCUAGGACUCUAAUGACCAGCUCACCUGUGGCAGGAUUAAAGCUGCUGGUGGCUUCAGAAACUGACCCUCUCAAAUUUACAGAAUAUUUAUACCAGUGCAUGUCUCCUGGAGCAUGAUCCGCACAGAGGCUAAUGUCAUGCCCCUAACUUCCACUGGUGUCUUUCAUCUACAAUGGUCAUGUUGAAGAGAUGAGGAACUUGGGUUUCUUUCAUAAAUGUGAAGUCUUAAGUGGCCAAUGUGACAUGCGCCACAUCUUCUCUCUCUAAGGGUGACAGGGCUUUGGAGUCGCAGUUCUUCUCUCUCAGUUUUGAAUAAGCAGCUGAAGGUUCUCCAAAUACCCGUCUACUGCCAACUACUUCAACUUACGUGCUAUGGAGGUAGGAAGUAUGUGCGUCACCAUCACUACCAAGACAAAACGACCCCCAUGUGCAGGGAUCCCCACAUUUCUGACAUAAAUCAACAGCAUAAGAACAAACGAGCAAGUGGACGAAUGAACGAAUGAAUGAGCGUAGCUCCCACUAGCCUCGCAUGUCCCUGGUUGUCCUUUUCAGGUUUCUGUUUAAAAUGUCAAGUCUGUUUUCAACGUGUGCAUUUAUUUCUUAUUUUAAAUUCAGGCUCUUCCACGGUGUGGGCUUACAGUGGCAUUGCCAACGACAGCUGCAACCACAGCGUGACAACAAGGACUGUCAAGCAAUGUGUGGGGUGUCCUGAAGAAAAACAGUGAAGAGAUCUGAACAGUGGGACGACAGCUCAGAAGAGGAAGAGCCUGGAGCAGCUAGCUCAACAGCACAGACCUUCGGCUCAGAGGCGCUGGGCACCUGUAGGGCACACUCAGCUCUCUCUCAGACCACUGGACCAGGGGAACUUUAAGAACUUUCUGGUUUAAAAACAAACAAACAAAACAAAUGAGCACUCAAACAAACCCCAAGGCUGCUCUGAGAGGGCCACAGAGAUUCUCAGCACAGGACAAGCGCGGCUGCUUUGCAGGUGUGUGCUUGUCUGCGGCAGAGCGUGGCUCGCCUCUGGAGCUCUCAUCACUGACCACUCUUCAGUGUCACCUCCCUGUGCCACCAUCUUGUUGAUUUUUCCUAUGAAAGACUAAAGUCUUACAUCUGUCAAGAAAACACCGAUGGUGAUGGACCUGAGCAGCAAAUAAAACCAAACGCCUCCCUUCUAGGUUGAGGUGUUUGGAGAGGAAAGAGGGUCUAACUCACGGCUUGGUUCUGUCCCAGGACACUCUGAAGUGCCACCCAUGCUGAUGGGAACCUGCCACUGUCCCCUUGGCACUGCAUUCAAGUGCGUGUGCUGAAAGUGCUGAUGUGUGGCAGAGUGAACUUCCUAUUCCCACCCCUCCUGUUAAAGCUGUGUUCACAAUGGUAGUCCCUCCAGACAGCAGGGCUUACAAUCAGAGGGUUUUUGUAACAGAAAGGAAAGGGGCAAACAAAACCGUCUGAGCAUACAAGAAACCCUGAGGUGAAAAUGGCUUUUCCUGUAGAGUCUUCUUCAGGCUGACGCAGUGUCUGUCACAAGGGCCCAGGGCCCUUCUGGGAGGGCAGGCCUUCCUCCAUCCACAGAGAGCCAGUGCGGGGCGCCCUGCGGUGGAUGCGCCGCAGCCGCAGCAGGUAGAGAAGGAUGGACAGAAGGACGACCAGGAAGCAACCGGAGAACAGAUAGUGGUUGUAGACGAAGGACACGCCCCGCCAGUGCGCGUGGCCAGCUCGGAACACCUCCUGCCGGAUGUCUCUGUGGCACAGAGACAAACAGAAACGACAGUGAGGAGGGUGCCAGGCAAGGUCUGCUGUUCCCAGCUUUCCUUACAUUGAGACCAGGGGAUGGCAAGCCCAAAGUGGGUUCCCUGUCAACUACGUUGUUAACACUCAGACAAUGACAUAUGGAAGCAUGUCCUUAAGACAUUAGCGUUAUCAUUUCAUCAACACACACUUGAUAAAUGUAGGUCCCAGGGUUUUGUUCUUACAAGGAAGUUAAUGGGGCAAACACAUUCAUGUGGAAAUUUGUGUAAUCAGUAACGGCUCUAAACAAAAAUUCUAAACAGAAUUUUUGGAGCUGACCCAAGUUAGAAUAGUAGAUAAAUAAGGUUUUAAAUGUGGUCAUCUGAGCUAGGUCUGAGAACUUGAAUAAAGAAAGCUGUAUGUCUUUAUGUGACCAAGUGUGGACUGGAAUCUAGUAUCUCCUUUGGUCAUGAAUCUACACAGACAAUGCCACAGUCUUAAAAGUAUUAGCGGACACUUGGGUGCUAAGGACGAUGACUGGUGCUUUGGGCCCACUCUGAAGGCCGACGCCUCAGCUGUCAGUCAUCACCACGCUGAAGGAACAGACAAGAUGGUUCUGCUACCAGACAUCGCAAGACAGUGCAUUCAUAAUGAUGUACCCCUACAUCACAAGUCUGUCUGCUACCACAGUGUCACAGAUGUGCUCAAUACAAUGGUUUCUUUUGCAAUCCUAGAUACUAUACUAUCACAGAAGGAGCCCGAAGCCAUAAGGAUCACCACUAAAUGGACCCUUCUGCGGGGGUGAGGGGACAGACAAAUGGGACAUAGGGUGGCACCACAGAGAGUUGUUAUGUUGUGGGAGAAAAGGAAGCCCCUGGGGAGGGAGAUGGAGAAGACCCAAGUUAACUAACCCAAGUUAACUAACCCAAGUUAGCUAACCCAAGUUAGUUAGUCUGGCUAGCCUCACAGCUCUGACGCAUCCACAGAAUACAGCCACCAGGAGGCAGCGCGCUCCAGAGAACCAUGCCUGUGCCUCUCCCAAUCCUACCUCAAGGGCAGGAAGCGGGUCCGGUAAAGGAUGGCCCCCAGGGUCCACUGUACUUCCUUGUCAUACACCUGCAAGGCCGUCUUCAGGUUUUUGUAGGUGACAGGAAAGGAGAAGCCUUUGUGGAACACCUCGAACAUCCAGGCUGAUUUGAAACACUGAUACCUACGGGUGCCAAGCACAGACACGGGUCGGCCAGGCACCAGACAGACUGUGCCCAGCUUGCAGCAGGCCAGCUCUGAGAAGGCGGCACAUGUGGCUGCUACGUGAUUAUUGAGCUCAGGCUGUCGCCCUGCAGAGAGGGCCGUUUACCUGUCGGGUCUGACUAGCCUGAAACAGCACCACUGAAUUGCUUCUGUGGGAUGCCUCCCUCCACAUGCCUUCAGCACGCCAUCACUUACUGAUCAAACGCUGCCGCGUUCCAGCUCCUGGAGACCCCAGCCUCUUUAUGACAGAAGGCACAGGAAACACACAAGCAGCGCGAUGUCUGUGCAGUCAACUUGAGCCUGGGCUCUGUGAGUCCCUGGAGACCAAACUGUGCUUGCCGUUUACCUGGGAAUCCUCCCACCAACAACCUCCCCGGACCGUUUAGUUCUCCCAUUGCCACGGCACCAGAAUAAACUCUGCCAAAGUGAAA